UAUAAUCGCAUUCCUGCACUUUUUUUUAUUUUAUUUUAUUUUAUUUUAUUUUGGAAACCAUCAUUCUUAGCAUUCCUGCACUUUUCAAGUUAGCCAACUGGGUUUAGCCAAUCGGAUGGUGCCGUACAACUCCAGCCAAUGGAGGCAGGACACAGUAAGAAGGACAAGCUGCUUUAGAGACAGUCCUGAAGAUGAGUUUUCACCCCAGAGAACAGAAUGACAAAAGGCCAAGAUGUGGUUGAUACAGCUGGUGAGAGACAUUGCGUGAGGAAAGACCAGGCUCUCCAAGCAUUCAGACACACCUGUGCAACUGUCCUUGCAAUUAGGAGCCAGGCCCCAUUGAGCUUCUCACCACAUGUCUUUGAACUUUGCUAGGUCAUGCUGUUGAUUAGUUUCCUCUACUGAGCAGGUAGCUUAUAGUCAGAGUAUUUACAACCAGGAGAAUGUUCCAGGCCAGCCCUGAGUCAACUUAAAAUAAUCAAAAGAUUAAAAUGUAAUCUGAAAUAUAUUUACUCAAGGUCAGAUAUUGAGGAUGGCCACCAGUCGGACAGAUUUAAGUUGCCCUGAAUAUAUGUUUCAAUUAACAGUCAUUGAAAGUGAGUCUUCUCAAAAAAGUGAGAAGGCAGUCGCUAAGUUGUUUACCAAUAAUUCAUAUUUAAAUGCAUAAGCUAUU